CUGAUGGUGAACUUGUUUGCCAUUCCGAAUUGUUAAACAACCAAGAGGCAUUCCAAUUUUUGCAGAAUAUGUUGUCGCUUGUUUAUCCCCUUGGUGUUGCCCGGUUGAUGUGACUAUUACUAAAAUGGGCAUUUCAAAUGAAAAACAUGGAGUUAGAGACUUGAGUGAGGCUAGUGGAUCCAACGUUACUGAUGAUGAAAUGGAUUUACUCCCUAUGUUUUGUCAACAUGAAGAAAGGACUUUGUCGUCUUCUGGAUGGGUGAAUGGAAUUACUCAUGUAGGUCAAAGAUUUGUUAGAGAUGCAAAGGAUUUCUAGAUUGUGUUAUGUAAAUAUGCCAUUGAGAUAGGAUUUGAGUUUGUGUAUGUAAAGAAUGACAAGUGUGGGGUCGCUACUAUGUGUUCAAUAAAAGACAUUUUUACUAUAUUGA